rnacentral:tRNA from 1 species
GCCCGCCUAGCUCAAUCGGCUAGAGCGUCAGACUUUUACGGCUAAUGUAGAAUCUGAAGGCUGCGGGUUCGACCCCCGCGGUGGGCU